GUAGGUAUAGCUCAGUUGGUUAGAGCAUCUGGUUGUGGUUCAGAGGGUCGUGGGUUCGAACCCCAUUACUUACCCCA
rnacentral:tRNA from 1 species